GAAGCAGACAUUUUCUCCAGAUAGGAAAGAGGAGGAAACAAACUAACAUUUUUGCUCAUUAUAUUCUUUUUCUGACACCCCUAAAACUUGACCUUCAUUAUAUCUCAGUGCCCUCAUCCCAAACACAUCCUCUCCCAGUUUUCCAGGAAACGGCAUCGCUGCCCAUCUCUUCUCAGGCCCCAACCCUGGAGGAGAACCUAAAUUUCUCAUUUCCUCAUCCCUACCUCCUGUCCUUCAGUCCCGUUGGCUGGGGUGCUAAACUGUGGACUAAAUUCUUUCAGUACUUACCAUGCCCACAGCUACCACCCUGGUCCAAGUCAAAUUCUUAGUUGCCCUGGACUUCUUACUGCAGAAGCCUCUCAGCUUCCACUCUUGGCAAAAACCUUGAAAUCUCUUAAUACCACUCGUCUGCUUAAACCUCGGCAUCCCACAUGUACCACUAUCAGGAAGGAUCACGUUUGUUUGUUUGCUGUCUCAGUCCCCCAUUUAUAUGUAAGUUCCACGGGUAAGUGCCUGCCCCUACAUCCCACACCUCUACAUCCACACAGCCUAGAGACCCCAGGCGCGGGGAAAGUACUCCAGGACCAUCAACGGCCAGGCCACACGACUGCUGGAUCUAAAUUUGGAACCGGACUUUCAAAGCUGAAAUAAACCUGAGGUUUUCCAGAGGCAUUUAACCUCCUUUUACAGCCAAGGAUGCGCCUAAGAAAGGGGAGUGACUUCCUGCAGUAACGCAGCCACUCUGGAGACUGAGACCACAAGGACUUGGGAGUCUAAAAGUCUGCAACCCUUUCCACUCCAAAGCUCGAUGUUUCCUCAAUCCCCCGGGCUCAGCAUCAGCAAAAACCCGGAGAAGCGGAGCCUUUCUCAAUGAAAACGACCACCAGACUCCUGCUACCGACUCCACCGGUGCGCGUAUCACGCACGCGCAGGGCAGGCCGGCCGCACCUCGCCAACUCUUAUUCGGACACGUCAUCUAGGUCGGCCGGGGUCCGGUGGGAGGGGCCAGGGGCGGAGCUCGGACGCGGGGCGGAGGGGCCCCCUCACUUCCGGAUCCAGCCUCUCCUGGCCAACACCUCACUUUGGGUUCCUUGGUUACCUGGCUGCGAUGUCUACCCGGUGCCGGGGCGUGGCGGAGAGAGAUUGCCCCGCCCUCCACGCAGGUCACAAAAUGGAGGACCUGCGUUGUGGGCGUUCGUGUCCUGGGUGUUGCCAUGCCGAAAGGCGAAAGUUAGAGUGGCAAUUCCAGUUGCAAACUGGAAAGAAAUGGAGUGUUUCCUUCAUUCUCUCCAUGAUCGUGACGGUCCUUUUCUCAAAAGCCUCCCUGUUGCCUAGGAUGGAGUACAGUGGCUGGAUCUCAACUCACUGCAACCUCUGCCUCCCAGGUUCAAGCGAUUCUCGUGCCUCUACCUCCCAACUUUACUGUGGGUUUUGUACAAUUAUUUGUUCAAAAUGCCAAGAACCUGGACAACUUGCUGUCUGCAACCAAUGAGACUGACUGUGGGCCGAGUCUUCAUUUGUAUGGAAGUGCAACUUUGUAACUUUAGCCUCUGAUUGCGGGCCACCACUUCAUUUACAUGAGGCGAACACCAAGUAGGAUGGCCAAUGGGAAACCUCUAGCGGGUAUUUGGACCUGAGAAGAUUCUGUAUCUGGGGACCUUGAGCUGCUGCUUGGGCUCACUCCCACACUGUGAAGUGUACUUUCACUUUCAAUAAAUCUCUGCUUUCCUUGCUUU